AUAUUUGAAAGCUGAGCUGUUGUGAUCAGAUAAAUCAGAUAGCUGGGCAAGAGUGUUCAGUGUUAGGCAAUAUCCCAGAAAAAACACUUCAAUUCCUUUCGCUGUCCCUUUCAGCAGGGCUGUUCAUGUAGUCUGUGACUUCAGUUUUGGAUAAGUCAUUUAUGAGGCUAUUUGCAUGUGAAUCCCUAUGGACACCUCUGGCAACACUGGGGCUGACCUCCUAAAAGUAGAUCUCCUAGGCUUUCAAUCAUCUUGCCGCACAUAAUAGCUGCAUAAUCCUGCCUGACUGCAAGAAAAUGACUGUACACUGAAGGAAAGGGCAGAUCAAGGUUCUUACUCUAACUGCUCAGGUAACCCAUGCUGGUGGUGAGCAACAGAUCACACAGAAGCUGUGAAGAUCAACUUCCUGACCUGAUGAUACCAUCCACCAAAUUGCUCAAGAAACCAAAUCAUGCUGUAUACUUGCUG
rnacentral:lncRNA from 1 species